GCUUGCUGGAGCACCUCCAGCUGUGCUGGAGGCGCUGUGGCCUCUCUCAUGUCCUUGCUCUGCUGCAGGUGAGGAAUGCCAUCCAGAGGAUGAAGGACAAGAAGAAAGCCCUCUCCUUCACAAACUGCUCUCAUCCCAUCAAUUACUUAUCCAGCCCAAGGAACACGAGCUCCUGGGACACAGGGAGGCCGAGUCCUGCCCCUGAGGCUGCCCUGCCCAGCCCAGUGCAGAGGGACCCUCCAGUGAAGAGCAUCACCAGCAGAGGAAAUUUUGGAGCCAGAAUUCCCAUGGGCAUCUCAUCCAUCAUGUCCCCCGAGAGGCCGGUAUGUAACAGCUGCUGUUCCUCACCUGCACCCCUGGCAGG
ensembl:lncRNA